rnacentral:lncRNA from 1 species
GUCAUCAGUCAUCAGUGUCACAAGAUCCUUCAAAAGUAAUUCUAAUAUGUUGAUUUGGUGCUUAAAAAACUUUUCUUCUUAUUAUAAAAGUUUAAAACAGUUGCGCUGGUUAUUAUUUUUUAAGAUUCUUUGAUUAAACAGUUCAAAAUAGCAGUGUUUAUUUGAAAUAUAAAUAUUUUGUAACAUUACAAAUGUCACGUUUCAUCAAAUUAAUGCAUUAGAGACACUGAUGCAGAUGGAUCAGUCGAGGUUGAGCAAGGACUGGUAAACAGUGACAUCAUUGGUCGGGAUCAACACUUGGAAUCAUUUCAUUUAGCAAACAUUGGCAAACGCAGCAGUUGGCAGCUUAUAGCAUGGAGGAGCACAGCCCAUGCAGCCAGAGCUCCACUAAGACGGAUGAGGGGUCAGGGUAGCUGGGAGACCUUUGGCGGUCUGUAUACCGGAGGAGACAACUGCCAUUUGACCAUAACAGGACUUCUAUGAGGGGCUGGAAAAGAAGCUGAAGGAGGUUUUCACAGAGAGGACAGGAAUUUUACGACAACUCUCCAAAACAUCAAAGGAGCUGGACAGCAUAAAGGGAAACCUGCAGGUAAGACCCUUCCCUUCCUCCACUGGGUUGGCCAUAGUGCAUAUCUGUUACAUAAUUUAAUGCUUGCACCUUUGUGGGUACUCCAAGGUUUUGCACUAGCUGUAAUGCUAUUUACAGUGCUGUGAAAAAGGUUUUUGCCUCUUCAUGUUUUUUUUUAUUUUUAUUUUUUGCAUAUUUGUCACACUUAAAAGAUUCAGAUUCAAGAAAUCACUUAAAUAGAACCUGUCUGACAAAGUGAAGCAUGCUUCAAGAGCCAACACAUCAUGCCGCGAUCUAAAGAAUUCAAGAGCAGAUGAAGAAACAAAAUAGUUAGACAUGUAUCAGUCUAGCCAUCUUCCUAUUUCUUUUCUCUUCCUGUAGCUAUGAGGGGCUGGAAAAGAAGCUGAAGGAGGUUUUCACAGAGAGGACAGGAAUUUUACGACAACUCUCCAAAACAUCAAAGGAGCUGGACAGCAUAAAGGGAAACCUGCAGGUAAGACCCUUCCCUUCCUCCACUGGGUUGGCCAUAGUGCAUAUCUGUUACAUAAUUUAAUGCUUGCACCUUUGUGGGUACUCCAAGGUUUUGCACUAGCUGUAAUGCUAUUUACAGUGCUGUGAAAAAGGUUUUUGCCUCUUCAUUGUUUUUUUUUUAUUUUUAUUUUUUGCUAUUAUUUGUCACACUUAAAAAGAUUUCAGAUUCAAGAAAUCACUUAAAUAGAACCUGUCUGACAAAGUGAAGCAUGCUUCAAGAGCCAACACAUCAUGCCGCG